rnacentral:rRNA from 1 species
UGUCCGGAAUUAUUGGGCGUAAAGAGCUCGUAGGUGGCCUGUCGCGUCGGCUGUGAAAACUCGGGGCUCAACUCCGAGCUUGCAGUCGAUACGGGCAGGCUAGAGUUCGGCAGGGGAGACUGGAAUUCCUGGUGUAGCGGUGAAAUGCGCAGAUAUCAGGAGGAACACCGGUGGCGAAGGCGGGUCUCUGGGCCGAUACUGACACUGAGGAGCGAAGGCGUGGGGAGCGAACAGG